AACACGGUUGUCUUGUUGGAAAGAGUCAGUGGCCGCGCUCAAAAGAACUGGGAACUCUGAAAAAAUACGAAGUUCAAUCAUGACAUCAGUGAACUUCAGGUUGGAAGGUGAGGUAUAACGCGGUCCGGGUUCCAGGGACAUCACCGGAUAGAAAAUCCAAUAAUGCUGCCAACGAAAUGCCAAAUAUGGACAUGUUAUGUGUAACGUCCGAACACACGAUAUCUUCGACUAGGUCACGGUAGUCCUCCACUCUCAGACGAGAGAUGCAUAAAUCGGUGUGUGUGUGUGUCCCUGUGGUGUUUUUUUUAAGCUAAAGACACAACACCAUCUUCCACAUAUUAUUGCACGCCCAGCCAGACCACCCUGCCCCUGUAGAAGACACCUGCUGCUGCCUGAGGAGGAACACACAGAUCAGGAGGCUCCCAGCCAGACCACCCUGCCCCUGUAGAAGACACCUGCUGCUGCCUGAGGAACACACAGGUCAGGAGGCUCCCAGCCAGACCACCCUGCCCCUGUAGAAGACACCUGCUGCUGCCUGAGGAACACACAGGUCAUGAGGCUCCCAGCCAGACCCCCCUGCCCCUGUAGAAGACACCUGCUGCUGGCUGAGGAGGAACACACAGGUCAGGAGGCUCCCAGCCAGACCACCCUGCCCCUGUAGAAGACACCUGCUGCUGGCUGAGGAACACACAGGUCAGGAGGCUCCCAGCCAGACCACCCUGCCCCUGUAGAAGACACCUGCUGCUGGCUGAGGAGGAACACACAGGUCAUGAGACUCCCAGCCAGACCACCCUGCCCCUGUAGAAGACACCUGUUGCUGCCUGAGGAACACACAGAGUCUCCAUUUGAGGGGGGCUGCCAACUGUACCCACCGCUGCCAUCCAACCAGCUGCAUUUGAUCCCCCUGGCCACCUGGAGUGUGGCCAACCAAUGACUUUCCCACAAUUUACCUGUGGAUUCAAGAGAAACUCCCCAGUCUGGCCCAGGAAAAAAGAGUUGUUGUUCCAGCACUCCGCCACCAGAUGGGGCAGUCAUAUUAAGAACCCAGGUGGGGAGAAGGGAAGAAGGAUUUGAUGAUGCCAUUGCCAAUGGUUGAAGGUAACUUGACCUAGAUUGGGGUGAGAGUGGAGGAUGAGCUGGAAAGAAGGAGAGGAGAGCUGAAUGAGCGGUGUUGUGUACUUACCCAGUGUAUUACUGGGUGAUAUUAUUAUUUUGAGAGUGGGACAGAGCUUGGUCAGUGUUUUUUACUCGUGCUUUUUAAAAAUGUACUUAAAAAAAAAUCUCUGUAUUUCUGUACAUGUUGUUUUUUGAUCGUCAGUAUCCUUCCCCCUUGACAACAUAUAGAGAAUUGAUCCACUGAUGUUACCUGCAUGAUCAGAGGGCAGGCAAACUAGAUUAGAUUAGACCGGUCCUUAUAUAUGUUGACCCAUCGAGGUCUCAGUUAACCCAUAGAGGUCUCAGUUAACCCAUAGAGGUCUCAGUUAACCCAUAGAGGUCUCAGUUAACCCAUUGAGGUCUCAGUUAACCCAUAGAGGUCUUGGUUUACCCACAGUUUUACUCCUUGAUGUUUAAUAAACCACAUUCUACCCUCAAAAGGGCAAUAUGACCCUGUUGAUAAAGACUAUUUUGGGGGAGAGUUUCAGCCUGGCUUUGAACGGGUCAAAACUGAAUUCAUUUGAGUUAUUAUGACCAUGUGGGAUGUAAUGAGCUCAGUCCUCUUGCUUAAGAGCAGGGAACAGAUGUGUGCGAAUACAAAGCCAAAUUGUUCAUUAACAACAUUUGGGUUCUAAGAUGUUGAGAAAAGGGGCAUUGAAGAGUCUGCCUAACCCAAACCUGUGAAAAAUGUAUAUACUACCACAAUAUCCUAACCUAACCCCAAUUCAGCAGGGGUCUACACCUGCACGUUUGGGUUCUCCGUCACUGGGAAAGGCAUAGAAUAUCCUACAUCCCUCUCAUUAGACCAGAACAGUAUGGAUAUAAUAAUUAAUAGGAAAUAACAUACCUGUAAAUAUACACACACUCUACUCUUGAGGAGGGCUGCAUAUGACUUACUUUCCUUUGAACUCCUAGUGGAGCAUAUGACCUCGGCAACACUGAGGGUUCGGCCAACAGGGUCAUGGAGACACGUGACGCAUGCUACCCCACCACGACAGCCAGGUCCAAAAUUAUUGACACCCUUGAUCAAGAUGUGCUCAAUGGCAUCAUGAAUUUUACCCAGUACCAGGACAUUUUAGCCAAAAAAACGAGUUGCCUCUGCCAGGAGGCUGACACUUUUCCGCAAAAAAAUAUCCCCAAGCACAC